GAUGAACGCUGGCGGCGUGCCUAAUACAUGCAAGUCGAGCGAACGGACGAGAAGAUUGCUUCUCUGAUGUUAGCGGCGGACGGGUGAGUAACACGUGGAUAACCUACCUAUAAGACUGGGAUAACUUCGGGAAACCGGAGCUAAUACCGGAUGAUAUUUUGAACCGCAUGGUUCAAAAGUGAAAGACGGUCUUGCUGUCACUUAUAGAUGGAUCCGCGCUGCAUUAGCUAGUUGGUAAGGUAACGGCUUACCAAGGCAACGAUGCAUAGCCGACCUGAGAGGGUGGUCGGCCACACUGGAACUGAGACACGGUCCAGACUCCUACGGGAGGCAGCAGUAGGGAAUCUUCCGCAAUGGGCGAAAGCCUGACGGAGCAACGCCGCGUGAGUGAUGAAGGUCUUCGGAUCGUAAAACUCUGUUAUUAGGGAAGAACAUAUGUGUAAGUAACUGUGCACAUCUUGACGGUACCUAAUCAGAAAGCCACGGCUAACUACGUG
rnacentral:rRNA from 1 species